rnacentral:lncRNA from 1 species
AAAAAAAAACAGAAAAUGAAUAAAUAAUGCUAGAGUUGGUGAGAUGGCUUAGUGGGUAAAGGCGUUGUCAGUAAACCUGACAAGCUGAAUUCAAUUCCUGGAACCCACAUAAAGAUGCAAGGAAUGACAUGACUCCUGACGUGUCCUCUGACUUACAGACACAUGCUGUGUACACACAUCCCCACCCCACCCCACAGAGCAUUCACACCAAUACUGACGUACGGACAUGUGCUGUGUACACACAUCCCCUCCCCACAAGCAUUCAUACCAGCACCCGUCCACGCAAAAAUAAAUGAACAAGUAAUGUUUUAAAAAAUGAAUGCCAGAGUUGGGCAUGACAAUACAACCUUGAAAACCCCAGCAGGUGGGAGGCAGAGCGGGUGGAUGUCUAUGAGUUCAAGGGCAGCCUGGCCUACAUCAUGCGUUCCAGUCCCACCAGCGCUAUAUAGUAAGACCCUGUCUCAAAAUAAUAGUAAUAAACUUUAAAUUAUUAUUUCU